rnacentral:hammerhead_ribozyme from 1 species
AUCCAGUUGACGAGUCCCAAACAGGAUGAAACGCGCUUCCUGGAU